UACGGAGGGGGCAAGCGUUGCUCGGAAUUACUGGGCGUAAAGGGCGUGUAGGCGGAUUGCCAAGUCAGGCGUGAAAGCCCCGGGCUUAAUCUGGGAACUGCGUUUGAAACUGACAGUCUAGAGUUCCGGAGAGGGUGGUGGAAUUCCCAGUGUAGAGGUGAAAUUCGUAGAUAUUGGGAAGAACACCAGUGGCGAAGGCGGCCACCUGGACGGACACUGACGCUGAGGCGCGAAAGCGUGGGGAGCAAACAGGAUUAGAUACCCGGGUAGUCC
rnacentral:rRNA from 1 species